AUGCAUGUCUAAGUAUAAGCAAUUAUACAGCGAAACUGCGAAUGGCUCAUUAAAUCAGUUAUCGUUUAUUUGAUAGUACCUUACUACAUGGAUAACCGUGGUAAUUCUAGAGCUAAUACAUGCUGAAAAUCCCGACUUCGGAAGGGAUGUAUUUAUUAGAUUAAAAACCAAUGCCCUUCGGGGCUCUCUGGUGAUUCAUAAUAACUUCUCGAAUCGCACGGCCUUGCGCCGGCGAUGGUUCAUUCAAAUUUCUGCCCUAUCAACUUUCGACGGCUGGGUCUUGGCCAGCCGUGGUGACAACGGGUAACGGAGGGUUAGGGCUCGACCCCGGAGAAGGAGCCUGAGAAACGGCUACUACAUCUAAGGAAGGCAGCAGGCGCGCAAAUUACCCAAUCCCGACACGGGGAGGUAGUGACAAUAAAUACUGAUACAGGGCUCUUUUGGGUCUUGUAAUUGGAAUGAGUACAAUUUAAAUCUCUUAACGAGGAACAAUUGGAGGGCAAGUCUGGUGCCAGCAGCCGCGGUAAUUCCAGCUCCAAUAGCGUAUAUUAAAGUUGUUGAGGUUAAAAAGCUCGUAGUUGAACCUUGGGCCUAGCCGGCCGGUCCGCCUCACCGCGUGCACUGGCUCGGCUGGGUCUUUCCUUCUGGAGAACCGCAUGUCCUUCACUGGGCGUGUCGGGGAACCAGGACUUUUACUCUGAACAAAUUAGAUCGCUUAAAGAAGGCCUAUGCUCGAAUACAUUAGCAUGGAAUAAUAGAAUAGGACGUGUGGUUCUAUUUUGUUGGUUUCUAGGACCGCCGUAAUGAUUAAUAGGGACAGUCGGGGGCAUCAGUAUUCAAUUGUCAGAGGUGAAAUUCUUGGAUUUAUUGAAGACUAACUACUGCGAAAGCAUUUGCCAAGGAUGUUUUCAUUAAUCAGGAACGAAAGUUAGGGGAUCGAAGACGAUCAGAUACCGUCGUAGUCUUAACCAUAAACUAUG
rnacentral:rRNA from 1 species